AGAAAGAAAUUUAAAAAAAAAAGAGGACAGUCUUUUUCAACCUAGAUGAUUUUUUUUCGAAAGAGAGGACACUUAAAAAAAAUCUGCUUGUUUUUCUGGCUACAAUUCGAUUAGAGAGGGAGAAGAGAAUUGUUGCAUGCUAAAUUUUGAGCUCAUUUAAGAGCUGAUUUUCCUCAAGAAACUUGCAAAAAGGGGAAGGAGAAGGUAGCAGCAAGAGGGGAAAAGAUUUUACUCAAGGUUAUGCUCGACUUCGAGUUUUUUGCUACAGUUUUUCAUGUUAUUCACUGGUGGGGUGAAGUACACUGUAACGACCUGGAUUUCUCAAAAAGAAAGGAAAGACAAAGCCGUGGACGAAUGGCUCGGAAUACCCCGAGAGACCAAUUCUGGAGGUUGACCAUGGAAAAUAAAAGGUUUCGGAAUAACCGAAAUCCAAAUCCGAAAUAUCUUCCAAACCCCGAAAGAUCAAUUCUGGAGGUUGACCGUGGAAAACAAAAGGUUUCGGAAUAACCGAAAUCCAAAUUCGAAACAUCUUCCAAAGCUUGUGGACUCAUAAAGAUUGGAAGAUGAUUGGAGUAUUGGUCACACUAUCGACAAGUCUUGCUUCGGUAUAAAGAACUUUUAUUUUCUUAUAAUGGCAUGUAUAGGGUUUUUGAUCGUUUUGUUAUAUAUGUCAUUUGGUUAGCCAAAGAAAUGGUUUAUCAAGAUAUGCUAAUUCAUUUUGUAUAUGGGCAUGAGAUGUGGCUUAUAUUGAUAGAAGUUGUAACCUUACUAGAUAUACAUGUUUAAGUUUAAAUGUUUCAUA